rnacentral:rRNA from 1 species
GACGAACGCUGGCGGCGUGCUUAACACAUGCAAGUCGAACGGAAAGGCCCUGCUUUUGUGGGGUGCUCGAGUGGCGAACGGGUGAGUAACACGUGAGUAACCUGCCCUUGACUUUGGGAUAACUUCAGGAAACUGGGGCUAAUACCGGAUAGGAGUUCCUGCUGCAUGGUGGGGGUUGGAAAGUUUCGGCGGUUGGGGAUGGACUCGCGGCUUAUCAGCUUGUUGGUGGGGUAGUGGCUUACCAAGGCUUUGACGGGUAGCCGGCCUGAGAGGGUGACCGGCCACAUGGGGACUGCGAUACGGCCCAGACUCCUACGGGAGGCAGCAGUGGGGAAUAUUGCACAAUGGGCGGAAGCCUGAUGCAGCAACGCCGCGUGCGGGAUGACGGCCUUCGGGUUGUAAACCGCUUUCGCCUGUGACGAAGCGUGAGUGACGGUAAUGGGUAAAGAAGCACCGGCUAACUACGUG